ACAAUUAGUCUCCUAUAUAAAGGGGUGAACAAUAGGGAACACUAUGAGUCUCCUAUAUAAGGGGGCCAGUGGUUCUGUUGUUUCUUGUGAUAAGAUAUCAAAAUGGGAAAAAGUUUAUUUGUGAUCAUGUUGCUUCUUGCUCUUUUUACUACAAGCAUUUUACUUUAUUCUUUUUAUGCUUUUUGCUUAUGUAAUGUUAUUGCUUUUAUAUUCUUUUUGUUUCAUAUUCAGAUAUAAAGAUUUUUCUCAUGCAUGUCGUUUCUUUAAGUUUUGUUUUUAAUAAUAAAUAUGGAAAGUACAUGAUUAAUUAAUGAUGCUUUUGGAGUUUCAAAGUGGAUAUUAUAGAAACAAUAUUAAUCACCUGUACAUUUAUGUUAUCCGGGUGAGGGCUUUUUAAUCAUUAUAUACAAUUAUCAUGAAUACAAAGGAUAAGUACAAGUGAUAUAUAUACAUUAAGAUGAUAAUGAUGAAUUAAUGUGAUUUUGAGAGAAUAAAUAAAUGCGUAUAUAUACGUGACUGGUGAUGGAUUGUUUUGUUGUAGAUGAGACUUUUAUGACUUACACAGAAGCAAAGACAUGUACAUUGCCAAACACAAAAUAUUCUUGUUUGUCUGAAAAGAAGUGUGAUGAGGACUGCCGAGAUGGACCACCACCUGCUACUGGCGGCAAAUGUGAAAACAUUAACGGGAUUCCUCGAUGUGUCUGUUCCUGGACGUGUAGAUGAACAUAUGCUCUGAAAAGCUACUUAUAAUACCAUGUAAGUGUACACCAGUCACAUGACUUAAUUUCGUGUAUGCCAGCUGUCAUUUCUGAUGAUGUAUUUAAUAUCAAUAAAACGUUUGUGGG
rnacentral:lncRNA from 1 species